AGUCGCACCCCUUGUUGCCAGAAAUCGCUCAGUCCGCCCCUGUAACAACAGUGUUAUAUAAGCUUGAAUCGCGACACCGCUUCAUUCAGACUACAGACAACAUUCAGAGAUCAUGAAGUUUGUAAUUGCUGUCGUGUUGGUUGCUUUUCUGGCGUUGGUGAGUGGAGAAAGUUGCAGGCAUACCUCUGACUGUACAACUACCACAUGUACUGGUUCAACUCUUGUGUGCCAGCCACUUACGCACCAAUGCGUAUGUGCCACUUCAAAUGGUCAAUCAUGCGACGAUGGUGGACACCAUUUGUGUCAAUGUAAUAACGGACACACUGGUUUCUGCUGGAGUAACAGUUGCCACUGCCGACACUAAACUUUAUGUUCUGAAAAAAAUAAAGAAAUGAAUCCAUUA